AAUUGAUUCUGCUAAUAUGCAGU
rnacentral:miRNA from 2 species